GUUGUAAAGCACUUUAAGCGAGGAGGAGGAGCUCUAGAUUAAUACUCUAGAUGCUUGGACGUUACUCGCAGAAUAAGCACCGGCUAACUCUGUGCCAGCAGCCGCGGUAAUACAGAGGGUGCAAGCGUUAAUCGGAUUUACUGGGCGUAAAGCGUGCGUAGGUGGUCUUUUAAGUCGGAUGUGAAAUCCCUGAGCUUAACUUAGGAAUUGCAUUCGAUACUGGGAGACUAGAGUAUGGGAGAGGAUGGUAGAAUUCCAGGUGUAGCGGUGAAAUGCGUAGAGAUCUGGAGGAAUACCGAUGGCGAAGGCAGCCAUCUGGCCUAAUACUGACACUGAGGUACGAAAGCAUGGGGAGCAAACAGGAUUAGAUACCCUGGUAGUCCAUGCCGUAAACGAUGUCUACUAGCCGUUGGGGUCUUUGAGACUUUAGUGGCGCAGCUAACGCGAUAAGUAGACCGCCUGGGGAGUACGGUCGCAAGACUAAAACUCAAAUGAAUUGACGGGGGCCCGCACAAGCGGUGGAGCAUGUGGUUUAAUUCGAUGCAACGCGAAGAACCUUACCUGGUCUUGACAUAGUAAGAACUUUCCAGAGAUGGAUUGGUGCCUUCGGGAGCUUACAUACAGGUGCUGCAUGGCUGUCGUCAGCUCGUGUCGUGAGAUGUUGGGUUAAGUCCCGCNACGAGCGCNACCCUUUUCCUUAUUUGCCAGCGGGUUAAGCCGGGAACUUUAAGGAUACUGCCAGUGACAAACUGGAGGAAGGCGGGGACGACGUCAAGUCAUCAUGGCCC
rnacentral:rRNA from 2 species